AGUGGAGCAUUUACAGGGGCGCGAAGUCACGUAGGUUUCUGUUUCUGACGUGACACCCGUCAGGAGCGGCUCCGACUUGGGUUUAGAAAGUUACUUUAACAGACGCGUCCAUAAACGGGUGCAACCCACAUUUCUGUCCGGCCACAUCAAGCUGCAAAUGGGGUGCAACCCACCUUUCUGUCCGCUGUAUUUUUGUGUCCCAGCAGACAGCAGAGCUGCCUGAAUUUGCAAAAACGACGACAGAGUGCUUCGGGCGGCAGAAAGGCAAGCCGGAGUCUCAGAGACAAAUGGAGACAAACAAGAAGGCAUUAUGUGUUGGAGGGAGAGAAAAGGAUAGAUGACCAAUAAAGGACAACGAGACAUUUUACCUUCCUUUCUCAACCAGGCUCUACAGUAAUCCGGGGGAACUGACUCAGUUUUGCCUACGGCUGUCCAUGAGCCCGUUAGUGUGAAAGUAAGAAAGAACUUUGGUCUCCAAAGAGAAUCCUCCUCACCCCAGAAGCAAGAAAGAUUACAGGAAUGACAUCCAAUAAUCUUGAUUAUGGUCACCUUGAACGCCUCUAAAGAUUGCAGUGUUCUUGUUAAACAGCACACAUAUUUAUAAAGUUAGGACUUCAGAGAAACUUCACAGUGCCUAAUACUGCAUAUUUAACAAUGAGACUUUAACUACCCACUUUGAAAGCCAUGGCAUACCAUUUAUGAAAACGAAUCCUGUGGACCUCUUUCAGGUUAGUAGCCUAUCCGGACAUUAAUUAGAUUAAGAUGUUAUCAUAUCUUUUUACUUUGAAAUGUUAGUUUUCACUUCCAGAACUCAGCCAUAUUAUGUGUCUCUGCCUAGUUUUUAGACUACUUUACAGCCCAAUUCAAAUUUGGGAUUCAAACUUACUUCCUCAUAAUGUCUGCCUUGCUAUUAACGCCACAUCACUCUAGCUCUCUUUUAUGUCUUGUUAACAAUUCUGGAUCCAACUGAGUCUCUGUCACUUUACCUUGGUUGGCAUCUUUAUGGCAAUAGUGCAAAUAUCCAUUCACCUGGGAGAAAAUGUUCUCUUUUUUCCACAUUUCCCUUUUAGAAUCCCCAGUUGCAGAUAGUACUCAGUAGAAUUACUCAAAGCAGUCCUCUUUUUCUUUAAUGCAGUCCUCUUAUAUACUUUACAUGUUCCUCUGUGUUAAAUACAAAGAGCAGUUUGCUUCUUCCAUUUAUUGAGUAGCUACAAUUUGCCAGACGUCAUGAAGGAACCUAAACAUACCAUAGAGAGCUUAUGCUCAAGUGGAGAAGACAGUUAAUAAAUAAGGAAAUACAUGAUAAGAAAGCAAAUUGUAGAUUUUGGAGAGUGAGACAAAGCAAACAGGGUGUUAUGAUAGAGCGUAUUGGAGGGUGGGGGGUAUUGAUAUAUGGCAGAAGUUUACUUAGCAUGAGUCAGCACCAGAGAGGGCAUGUCCUUUUUCUGAAAGAUGAGAAGGGGCCAGCUGAGUAAAGACCUUGGGGAUGACACUGUGUGCAGAAGCAGUGGCAGGUGCAACAGAAAGCUUCAAGAGAUUCCUUGACACAUGGAAGGAAUUGAAACACUAGAUGAGAUUGAAGAGGUUGGAAGUAUCCUGAUUACAGAUGACUAUGCAGUGAAUGAUACAACAGGGUUUCUGUUCUUUUCAAUAGUGAUGAUAAGCCAUGAUAAAUUAUCAACAGUCUCUCCUAGACUCCCAUGGAAUGAAAGGCCUACAUAGGUAGAAUACAUUACUUGGGCCAGAAUCUGUGGCCAAACAACAGUAUAUUUGUGUAAAAAAAUGGGCUAUUAAGAUGAUUAAUUCACAGCUCUAAUUACCUGUAUCCUACUCUUUCCAACAAAAUCAAAUGGACCAGGCUACCUAAUAUAUUGUAUAUCCAUAAAAUACAUGAGCUGUAAAUAUAUUGAUCUACUUAUGGGGGACUUUACAGUACAUUUGAUAAUAAUAAUUGAGUCAGUGUUACUAUAUCUGUUUUUUAUACUUUUAUGAGAAAGAUGAUGACAUUUGUUUAAAUGUAUGUAGUAUACUUGGUAUAAAUGUACCUUUUACAAAGAAAGAAUAUACAUCUUGUUAGAAUCUUUUCUGGGCCUUUAAUUUAAGUAGUAUUACAAAUGUAGUCCCUAUCCAUGAGGUGAGAAAAACACAACAGGCCUUUGACUAAUACUUUGCCAAAUGAUCAUGAACAUAUAUCAACGCUUAUCUGUACAGGUGGUUCUUGUACAGGAAACAGCAUUAUGCACACUUUGACUAAAGGUCACAGAGGAAUAAAUAAAGUUCUUUUUGAACUCGGCAAGAAUUUAUGGGAAUGUAGCUUACUUUAAAUAACAAAGUGGCAGCCUAACCCUCAAAAUUCUCCAUUGUAUACACUCAUUUCACUGACUUGACUCAUUAUGGAGAUAAACUGGUCCUGACUGAAAGAGAAGGAAGUUUGUGUUGAAAGAUGUAUUACUAAUAACCCUUUAGUUAAUACUGGCAUGAGAUGCUUCUCAAGAACACUGGUCUGAAAGUUUCUUAUCUUUUGGGGAUUCAAACAGAAGAAGAAAUCCAACAGUCAGUGAUUCGAGAGUCAGUUUGUCUCUCUCCCUAUCUGUCUGCCUA